rnacentral:tRNA from 1 species
GCGUUCGUAGCUCACCUGGUUAGAGCACACGCCUGAUAAGCGUGAGGUCGGUGGUUCAAGUCCACUCGAACGCA